UCGAUUAUAUACAUUUAACAUUAAUUGCAAUUUUUUAAAUGGCCUCUUCCAAGUCCUAAGUUCCAAAAACUACUUAAUUGAACUUAACAAAGCAUGGAAUUUUCAACUAUAAAGUGGCCAAAACAAUUUUGUUUAUCACACGCAAAGGGGGAAAACAUGUCUCAAAUUUUCAUGUUUGCUUAUGUUUUGAUCAUCUUUCUUUCUCUAUUUCAUGUUGAAACAAAUAUACAUAAAAUCGGCUGCAAGACUAGUGAAGAUUGUCCUUAUCUUGGAAAGUGCAUUGAAGAUUUUUGUCAGUUCAAGAAAUAAUAAAAUUUUAAAAUAAGGGUCAUGCUAACCGGUAUUCCAAGACACUAGUUAAGCAUAUCAAAAGAGAAAAUUAUUAGCAUAAAAGAAAACUAUUUUUUAUCUUUUAUAAAUUAAUUACACAAUUUCAAUGUAUUAACUAUUAUAUAAUUUCCAUUUUAAUAUACUUAACAAGUGCUCCGAGGCAUGGAUUAGCAUUUCCCCCAAAAUAAUUACACCUAAGCGUAUAAUUUUAUGACAAGGUCAAAAGUUUCGUUACCUAUUCAAGAUAUCACAAACGACAAUGUCUAUGCAUGACAAUGAUAAAAUACUUCAAUAAAUAAAUGUAGUUAAUGAUUAUCAUGUUUUUUGUUACAA